CUCGGACAGAAUGGAUGGAUUUGUUUCACACAGAUCAGCUUCACAUAAAUCACUUACUUGCUUCAGAAGGAACUUCUAGAGAGGAUGGCAUGAAGGUUUAACUGGAGAAUCGCUGUCUUCUGGACAGAAUGAAUCCCGAGUCCCUGGACUCAUCGAUCCAGAGCUGUCUGUCUGCCCUCUACCCACCGUUUGAGGUUACGGCCUCUACUGUCCUCAGCCAACUCUUCCAGGUCAUUGAGGGUCGUUACUACGGAGAUGCCCUCCAGUGUCUGACCGACUUCCUCAUCCCUGCCAGAAACCUUUUGGAGAGUUUGCAGCAGGCGGCCUGUGCUCCGUAUUCUCAGAGGGUGUUCAAGUUUUCCGGGUGGCCUUUGUGUUUACACGAUCGCAUCGUGAUUCAGCUCGCUCCCGUUAACACUCUUCUGCUCAAACCAGGAGACUUUUACCUGCAGGUUGUGCCUUUUGGAAACCAGGCGGCCCGCAUUGUGGUCCAGAGCCUUUUGGAGGUGGAAUGUAAGCUGGAGGAAACCCCAAUACCAGAGACCUCGUAUCCUAGCAUCUUCACUGAAGCCUGGCUUCGAGAACUGAAUGAGGGGAGACAUGGAACGCUUCUGGCUCGCUGCGUCCUCAAAACUGAGCAGGGCGUAGUCAAGGUUCCUUGGGAAGAGGUGGCCAAUCCUGAAUUUGAAGACGAUCGGAGGAUGGCCUCCUCUUCUCCGUCAAACCAACAAGAGUCUUUGAAUUUGUGCCAUCCACAUACGCCUACACCUUCUAAUUUCUCAGUCGAGACGAGGAUUUGUCCUGCACGGGAUGGUAUAGCAGUGUCCUUGCGUUUGGUAGACAACAGUAGUAGUUCCAGACAAGCUGAAAUGGAUCCAGCUCAGCCUGGGAUGCGACCGGUGGGAUGGGUGUCUCCAAACACAUGGGACAGCAGAAGUAAGAGCAGUUUGGUUAGCAAUUGCAAUGAUCUAAUGGACCUCACCAAAGAAACCCACUGUGUACAACCUCAUACUACCAUGCUGAGGUCCAGUAGUGCUACUCGGGACCGUACGGCUUGCGUUCGCACCGUGAGGUUCGCAGAGGAACCCUGUACGCCGUGCAUGCAGAGGAAACGCGGACAAGGGACCAAAGCGCAAAAAUGUCGGUACAUGGAUGCACAGGAGAAACCUAUUAAACCCAAAGAAAGGUCUGUGCAUUCAAAUGAACAGAGAAGCCUUCACAGGCCUGCUCAGGAAAAUGCAUCUUGUUGCAGCUCUUCAGAAACAGGUCCAUUAGGUGAUCACUCUAGCGAAGGACAAAAGGAUCAAACACAGAACAUUUCUCAGGAUAAGAUAGACUGUUUUGCUCCAACUGUUGUUGGGACGUCUGAGAAGUGCCACAUUGUUGUCCAAGGUGAGACAAACGAGGUGGACAGAAGCAGCUACUUUGAAUUGAUUCCCAGGCUGCAUGUGGUUCCAGGGAAGAAGACCACCACUUUUGGACUUGUGUCUCCGAAGAUAUACAGGAGACGACUACCAGCUCAAGAUCUCUCUCAGGACCCAAAAACUCUGUCCCCUCAUGUUACUGGACCACGGAUAAAUCUUUCAGACACAUCAGUGCAAGCUGAAACAGACAGACCACCAUCCAGAUCAUCCACACCUCCUCCACUUAAAGCCAAUGGCUUCCUUCACUCAGGAAUGGUGUGUCUUACAGGCGGUCAGGACCGUUCAGGUCGAGCAGUUGUGGAGAUUUAUGGAGAUCAUCAGGUCUGGGUUUCUGCACCCAUUUCAAGCCAGGAGAUCUGCAAACUACUGCUGUACUUCCACACCAUCACCAGGAAAGAAAAAGAUCUAGGGAUGACAGUGGUGUUUGAUGCACGGAAGAAGCCACCACAUUCAGAGUUCGCCAAAGCUCUCCUAAUGCUCCAGGAACUCAAUCCUCAUGCUGUGCAUUGGGUUCUGCUGCUGCUGAAUAAGGACAACAGCCACAGUCAUGAGAAACGGCCUGGUGUUACGAUGGAAACUGUGACGUCACUUAAGGCUCUAAAUAAAAUAGUUGAUGUCAGUCAGCUGACUGCGGCUCUACACGGAUCCUUCCAAUACAAUCACUGCGACUGGCUACAAAUCCAUCAGAAACUGUAUCCAUUUGUGUCAGAUCUUCAGGAGGCGUCCGCUCUGCUAUCAGGAGCCAUAAAGAAACUGGAAGGUGUUCAUAAAAUCGACACAGUACAGGAUGUGCAGCAGUGCAUUGAGGAGCAGGGAGCUCUAAUGAAGGAUGUGCUUGAAGACGCACGAUUGGUCGGAUUGCAAAGGGGAGGCGGAGCCAUGCUGGCGAGGCUGAGGCGGGAAACUGAAGUGAGGUCACCAGACUGUGAACCGAGCCGUGAGGUGAUCGACACAGUCACACAUUUGUACAACGCCAUGGAAGAGCAGGUGCACAUCCUAGCCAGGAAGUCCAAUAUGUCCCUGCAGCACCUCGACUUCCUGUUACAGCUCAGAGAGAUGGAGUCCAGGUUUGCAAAGAUUAAGGACUGGUUCGACACCGAAGGAGAAACGCGGCUUCUACAGGCUGAAUCUGUGGAAGACUGCAGCGAACGAAUCCAGCAAACACUGCAGAGUUUCAAAGCUUUUCUCUCCGAAGCAAAUGAGCGAAAGCAUCAGGCGAUGAUGCUGGUGUCGGAUGCAGAGAGCGUUCAGGGGCCAAACUACCCCGAGACGGAGGUGUUUCAUAGGAUGGUGUCCAUGUUUAAAUCCAGUCUGGCUGAUUUCGUGUCGCGGGCCGAGCGCUGCUGUGAAGAGCUGGGGAUGAUGGUGUACAUCUGUCACUUCUGUGAGAGGGCAUCAGCCGUGGCCAACGAUUGCAGGCGAUUUUUGGAACAGGAGCAAUACUGCUGUUCUCCAGAUGAAGAGCGCUGGACACUUCUUCACACUUACCUGCAGAGAUUAGACGAGUUUUCUCCUGAGCACUUCCAGGACGUGAGAGCGCAGGCGUCUUCCAGCUCUAGAGCUCUGCAGGUGUGGAACGCCGCCUGGAUCCACUGCCAGGAGGUCCGGCGACAGCUGGAGGAGAGACUGGCACUUCUGGAAGGAGUUCAAACGGCCGCUGGACAUCACUCUGAUUGGCCCGAAGUCAUUCCAGUACCAGAUGAGCAUGAGACUGUGCCCGAGCUGUCGGAGAGCAGGGCGAGUCGGGCGAGAGACAGCAUUCACGGCACCGUCACCUGCUUCAACUUCAGAUCCAACCACAAAACCCAGAAACACUCCAAAACCGCUCAGACUGCGAAGGAAAAUCCCGCAGACUGCAGCCACAGAGGCAAAAACACUGGCAGAAAAGCGUCCCAAGAGCAGAAACCCGUUGCAGGCUUGAGUAUGGUGGGCUGUCAGUGGUUUCCUUGGCAGAACACAGCCAGCAGAAACAUCAGCAAAGGAUCUGAGCACCACAUCACAGAGCCCAUCCUUUGCCAGAACCAGCCAUAUGUAAACUCCCGUCACAACAGCUUCUGCUCUCAGACGGCCUGUGAAGAGACAGAGGGCGCUAGAGACAUCUCUGUUUUCACAGACGGAUGGAGAACUGAUGGGGAAAACACUGCAUCCACCCCAGAAAGCCCAAACAGAACCAUGAAGCUUCAUCGUAUCUUGGAGGAGCUCCUGCUGACAGAGGUGGAGUACGUCCGCUCUCUCGGCUACAUCUUGACUCACUACUUCCCCCUGCUGUCCAGACCGGAUGUCCCACAGGAUCUGCGAGGUCAACGCGGGCGCAUAUUCGGCAACCUGGAGAAACUGUACGACUUCCACUGCCAGCACUUCCAGCAGGAACUGGAGGCCUGUCAGGCAGAACCGCUCAGAGUCGGACGCUGUUUCCUGAAUCACAGAGAGAGUUUUGGACUUUACGCCCUUUACAGCAAGAACAAACCCCAGUCUGACGCACUAAUCCAGCAUCACAGAUACUUCAAGCGUAAGCAGAUGGAGUUGGGUGACAGCAUGGAUCUCUCCUCAUACCUGCUGAAACCAGUCCAGCGCAUCAGUAAAUACAGUCUCCUGCUGCAGGAGAUCCUGGACGAAUGUGUGCCGGAUCAGAGCGGAGAACGAGAGGAGAUCCAGGCGGCUCUAGAGGUGGUGCGAUUCCAGCUGCGGCACGGGAACGACCUGCUCACCAUGGACGCCAUCCGUGACUGUGAUCUGAAUCUGAACGAGCAGGGCCAACUGAUUCGGCAGGAUGAAUUCUGGGUAAUUUUCCGCAAGAAACGUUCCCUCCGGCGAGUGUUUCUCUUCCAAGAUGUCAUCCUCUUCACCAAGACCAAAAAAAACGACGAGCGUGGAGAUGAUGUGUACGUUUACAAAAUGUCUAUCAAGACCUGUGAGAUUGGAAUGACCCAUUCUUGCGGGGUGAGUGGCCGGAGUUUCGAGAUCUGGUUCAGGAGAAGACGCUCUCAGGACACCUACAUCCUACAGGCAGAAACACGGGACGCCAAAGAGGCCUGGACCAGAGACCUGGAGCACAUACUGUGGGAACAAGCGCUGAAGAGCAGAGAGCUGAGGAGACAGGAGAGGUUGUUCAUGGGAAUGGGUUGGAAACCAUUUGCUGACAUUCAACCUAGAAAUGCAGCUGUUAGCAAUCACACCGUAAAUGGUGACGUCACAGGAAGAGAAGUUGUAGGAAUACUGAAAACACCCAAUCCCUUGGUGUCCAGCCUUCAAAGGGGUGUGGCUUUGCCACGGCCAGAUUCGAUUGGCUCUGGCAGCAGCACAUCAACGGCAGGCAGCCACUCAUCAUCCUCAUCUGGGCGGGGCUCCAUGUCACCCAGCGUUUUCCAAGGAAAAUACGAUUCCUCUACAGAGAACACGGGUUUAUUUAGCUGUGCGGAUCAUAAUUGCCCCACAAGGAGGAGAGCGUCUGUGUCGUCACUGCUUUACUCCAGACCUUCAGCGUGUCAGUCGUCUUCUGCUCACGUUCUUCACUACGACUCACCUGCCCUGUCCAGGAAGAAGCUCAGUUCACAAACAGAUGCUCACGGUUCUCUCAAGGUUGAGAAAUCAACGCAUAUCAGCUCUGGCUAAAAACCCAUGUCAGUUUCAAGAGCCAAUUCGUUCCAAGGCAUCAACAGAAGUUUAGCUGUGAUAGAGGCAUGCUUACAUCUCUUCAGAAGCAGUUCACUGAUGUCAGAUCAGGAUAUGAGAAGCUCCAACAGAUGCUCCUUAUGAGAUGUUUAUGGACUUAAAAUCUCUUACUUUAUGGAUUCAACUGCUGAAAAAAAAGAGAUUUCGAUUUUUGUUUGAAUAAAUGCAGUGGGAAAGAAGAAAAAAAGCAUAAACAAGAUGAUAUCGACCAGAUCUGAGACUGUAGACCAGUUCUUUAUUUCCAGUAUUGACCAUCUGAGAAGACGUGUGAGGAACUACAAGGACUUUUUCCUGGAAAAACAAUAGAAAUAUUCUGUUAAAGCUUGACGUAUUGUGCAAUUAUUUUGCAUGAGACUAUUUCUUGAUGUACUGUAAAACUGUAAUGGAUUCUGAAAUCAGAUGCGAUGCAAAUGCAAUGUUCAAUAUUACAAAGACCAGGAUGUAAACUAAUAGCCAAAUAUAUUUUCUUUUAUCAUCAAACUUCCUGCUAUAACACUGAAAUGUUGUGCUUUCUACAUUUAUCCAGCUUAAAAAUCCUAGUAUACAGUAGGGGAUCAAAACCUUUCAUUUUUUCAAAGUUGUCCUAAAACCAAAAGAAUACCUGCUCUUGUUUUAGAACAACUUGGAUGAACUUUUUUGAUCCACUUCAGAUGUUGACUACUGUAGUUUAUUGGGUUCAGGGAAUUUUGAAAAUAUAUACACAAUUGCUUGAAAAUAAAUUGAUAAUUAAUUUGGACUGUUUAAAGAUUUUAUACAGCAUGUGUGAAAGUUUUGGACUGUUCAUUUUGUGUAC